rnacentral:rRNA from 1 species
GGAAAUGGGUCGAUAGCCUGCAUGCCUCCGAAUACAAGAGCUUUCUCUCUGAAUCUGCUAACGGCUCCUCAAAACACUUGUAAACUAUAACAAGCACGCUUAUCGGGUCCCAAGGCUCGGUAGGCUAUAUGGAUAACCCUGGUAAUUCUGAGGCUAAUACAAGAACGUACCACCUGUCUGACCGGGCAACUGGAAGGGCGGGGGGCGUGCAACACGGCGCAAAAGAGACUGGGAAUCGGUGCACGCUCAGACCACCAUACAAACAGUUGUCCUGGGCUUCGGCUCGGCGCUCCUGGGUGGCUCUUGCGAUGUGCUUCUGACCUAUCAACUAGAUGGCAGCGUAAGGGACAUGCUAUGGUUACAACGGGUACAGAGGAAAAGGGUUCGA